GCACUUAUUUGUAGCGCAAGUUGAUAAUGUGGAGACAUCUGCAUGUAUUAUAACUCCUCAACAAGUAAACUUCAUUGUGAACGGAAGGGGAGUAAAGAAGAGAACUAAUGUGUAUAUGGAUGCCGGCCCACAGAUGCCAACUAAUGUGACUCCGUUGAUGAAAUAUGGAACAAAUC